GACGAACGCUGGCGGCGUGCCUAAUACAUGCAAGUUGAGCGCUGAAGGUUGGUACUUGUACCAACUGGAUGAGCAGCGAACGGGUGAGUAACGCGUGGGGAAUCUGCCUUUGAGCGGGGGACAACAUUUGGAAACGAAUGCUAAUACCGCAUAAAAACUUUAAACACAAGUUUUAAGUUUGAAAGAUGCAAUUGCAUCACUCAAAGAUGAUCCCGCGUUGUAUUAGCUAGUUGGUGAGGUAAAGGCUCACCAAGGCGAUGAUACAUAGCCGACCUGAGAGGGUGGUAGGCCACAUUGGGACUGGGACACGGCCCAAGCGCCUACGGGACGCAGCAGUAGGGAAUCUUCGGCAAUGGACGAAAGUCUGACCGAGCAACGCCGCGUGAGUGAAGGAGGUUUUCGGAUCGUAAAACUCUGUUGGUAGAGAAGAACGUUUGUGAGAGUGGAAAGCUCAUCAAGUGACGGUAACUACCCAGAAAGGGACGGCUAACUACGUG
rnacentral:rRNA from 1 species